rnacentral:rRNA from 1 species
ACUCCUACGGGAGGCAGCAGUGGGGAAUAUUGCACAAUGGGCGCAAGCCUGAUGCAGCCAUGCCGCGUGUAUGAAGAAGGCCUUCGGGUUGUAAAGUACUUUCAGCAGUGAGGAAGGUGAGUCGUUAAUUAGCGGCCUCAUUGAUCGUUUAGCUUGCAGAAGAAGACACCGGCGUAACUCCGUGCCAGCAGCCGCGGUAAUACGGAGGGUGCGAGCGUUAAUCGGAAUUACUGGGCGUAAAGCGCAUGCAGGUGGCUUGUUAAGUCAGAUGUGAAAGCCCGGGGCUCAACCUCGGAAUUGCAUUUGAAACUGGCAGGACUAGAGUACUGUAGAGGGGGGUAGAAUUUCAGGUGUAGCGGUGAAAUGCGUAGAGAUCUGAAGGAAUACCGGUGGCGAAGGCGGCCCCCUGGACAGAUACUGACACUCAGAUGCGAAAGCGUGGGGAGCAAACAGGAUUAGAUACCCUGGUAGCUACGAGU